rfam:Gossypium arboreum cultivar AKA8401 contig_34392_1, whole genome shotgun sequence.
AGACCAUGAUGUGGGCAUAUUUGAAUCAAAAUCUUUAAACAUUCUCAAGCUUCGUAGAAGUAUUCUCCUUCUAAUUGCUUGAAUGUAGUGAUAUCUCUGCUUAGUUG